CCAAAACCUCUGCGUUCCAGAUAGUGACUACUCUGUCUGCGUGGGUCCUGGAGAGAGGAGGAUGCAGAGCACAGCACUUAGCCAACCUGCAAUGGACACGUAGAAAAACUUCUAAAAUCAUCAGGAGAUAUCACUGAAAAGGUUUCAAAACAAAGCCAUAAUCUCUAGAAAUGUGUCCUUGAUGGGUUGGUCUUCAUUUGCCUGAAGACUGAUCAUUCUAAGGAGGAUUUUGUGCUGCUCUUGUUUUGCUGCUGGGCCUAUCCUGUUUCCAUUCCCAAAUCAAGUAUUCCUGGAAUUUAAGGUAUCACUUUACCAGCCUGACCACAAGUUCCCCAUUGUUUCCUCUGCUCUGCUCAUGCCCUGGAAUAAUGCCUCUCCCUGGAUACUAAAUUUACUGACCCUGCCUAGGACCCAGAGAAGAUUGAUGAGUCCUCAGCCUGUGCAUGUCUUCAAAAAGCCACCAACUGAUAGCUA
rnacentral:lncRNA from 1 species